ACUUUCAUUUUUCCCCAAACUGACAGAGGAAACAGAAAGCUGUGACCAGCAGCGUCCUUUACUCCUUGGCCUUAGUGCCUGUUUACAUUACCAAGGCUGGGCACUGACUCCUGCUGCACUGCCUCCCAUACAGAGAUCCUAUCUAUAAUUGCUGCAGCCUGUCGUCCAGCCCCAGGCCUCAGGAUGAAUGUCCUGGAGACUUCCAAGUUGCUGGAUGAAGAGCUCUACUCUCGGCAACUGUAUGUGCUGGGCUUGCCGGCCAUGCAGAGGAUUCAGGGAGCCAAGGUCCUGCUGUCAGGUCUUCAGGGCCUGGGGGCUGAGAUAGCCAAAAACCUGGUCCUGAUGGGUGUGGGUAUCCUCACUCUUCAUGAUCCUCACCCUACCUGCUGGUCUGACCUGGCUACCCAGUUUUUCCUCUCAGAACAGGACUUGGGAAGGAGUAGGGCUGAGGCAUCUCAAGAACUUCUGGCUAAGCUCAGUGGAGCUGUUCAGGUGUGCAUCCACACAGGUGACAUCACUGAGGACCUGCUGCUGGACUUCCAGGUGGUGGUGCUGACUGCAUCGAAGCUGGAGGAGCAGUUGAAGGUGGGCACCUUCUGCCACAAGCACGGAGUCUGCUUUCUAGUGGCGGACACUCGAGGCCUCGUGGGGCAGUUAUUCUGUGACUUUGGUGAGGACUUCACUGUCGAGGACCCUACAGAGGCAGAACCCCUGAGAGCUACCAUCCAGCACAUCUCCCAGGGAUCCCCUGGCAUUCUCACUCUGAGAGAAGAGGCUGAUGCCCACCACUUCCACGAUGGGGAUUUGGUGACUUUCUCAGGCAUUGAGGGCAUGGUGGAGCUCAAUGGCUGUGCUCCUCGGCCUCUCCACGUGCGGGAGGAUGGGACCUUGGAGAUUGGGAACACAGCAACUUUCUCUCGUUACUCCCGUGGUGGGGCUGUCACUGAGGUCAAGAGACCCAGGACUGUGAAACACGAGCCCCUGGAUGCAGCCCUACUCCAGCCCCGUGUGGUGGCCCAGAGUCCCCAGGAAGUGCACCGUGCCCACUGCCUGCAUCGGGCCUUCCGUGCACUGCACGCAUUCCAGCAGCUCCAUGGCCGCCCUCCUCGGCAGUGGGAUCCUGUUGAUGCAGAGAUGGUGGUGGGACUGGCCCAGGCCCUAGAACCACUGAAGGGGACAGAGGGAGAGUCAUCGGAAGAGCAGCUGGAUGAGGCUCUAGUGCGGACAGUUGCCCUGAGCAGUGCUGGUAGCUUGAGCCCCAUUGCAACCAUGCUCGGUGCGGUGGCUGCCCAGGAAGUGCUGAAGGCGGUCUCCAAGAAGUUCAUGCCCUUGGACCAGUGGCUGUACUUUGAUGCCCUCGAUUGCCUUCCAGAAGAUGAGGAGCCCUUUCUCAACCCUGAAGACUAUGCACCGAGAGACUGCCGCUAUGACGGGCAAAUUGCCGUGUUUGGGGCUGGUUUUCAGGAGAAACUGAGCCACCAGCACUACCUCCUGGUGGGUGCUGGUGCUAUUGGCUGUGAGCUACUCAAAGGCUUUGCCCUAGUGGGCCUAGGGGCCGGGGGCAGUGGGGGCGUGACUGUUGCCGACAUGGACCACGUGGAGCGCUCCAACCUCAGCCGGCAGUUCCUCUUCAGGCCCCAGGACAUUGGUAGGCCAAAGGCAGAGGUGGCUGCUGAGGCUGCUCAUCACCUGAACCCAAACUUGAAGGUGACCCCGCUCACCUACCCACUGGAUCCCACUACAGAGCACAUCUAUGGGGACAACUUCUUCUCCAAUGUGGACGGCGUGGCUGCCGCCCUGGACAGUUUCCAGGCUCGACACUAUGUGGCUGCUCGCUGCACUCACUAUCUGAAGCCACUACUGGAAGCGGGCACAAAUGGCACCCGGGGCAGUGCUUCUGUGUUCAUGCCGGGUGUGACUGAUGUCUACAGAGGCCCUGCCUCGGAUGCAGAUUCUGAGGAUGCCUCCUACCCUGUUUGCACUGUGCGGUACUUCCCCAGCACAGCCAAGCAUACCUUGCAGUGGGCCCGGGAUGAGUUUGAGGGACUUUUCCAUCUGUCUGCUGAGACCAUCAAACGCUACCAACAGGAAGGCCACCCACAAGAGGCACUCAUUUCUCUGGCUGACAUGGAUGGGCCACAGGUACUGACCCUGCUGCAGGUGGUGCUGGGUGUCCUGAGAGAGCGUCCACAGACCUGGCGAGACUGCGUGCUGUGGGCCCUUGGCCACUGGCAACUGUGCUUCCAUUAUGGCAUCAUACAGCUGCUGAGGCUCUUCCCACCUGAUAAAGUGCUUGAGGAUGGAACACCCUUCUGGUCAAGUCCCAGACAGUGUCCCCAGCCCUUGGAGUUUGACGCCAGCCAAGACAUGCACCUCCUCUAUGUGUUGGCAGCUGCCAAUCUGUACGCCCAGAUGCAUAGGCUGCCUGGCUCUCGGGACCAGAUUGAGCUCAGAGGACUGCUGAAGUUGUUGCCACUUCCUGACCUCCAGGACUUGGCCCCCAUCUUUGCUAGUGACCUGGAGCUGACUUGGGCUUCUGCUAAGCUGGGCCCUGAGCACUUGAAGAAACUUCACGAAGCCCUGGAAAUCUGGAGUACAGGCCCUCCCCUGGAACCCUUGAUGUUUGAGAAGGACAAUGACAACAACUUCCAUGUGGAUUUUGUGACAGCAGCAGCUAGCCUGCGAGCUCAGAACUAUGGGAUCCUACCGGCCAGCCGCACUAAGAGCAAGCGAAUUGUGGGCCGGAUUAUCCCAGCCGUUGUCACCACUACAGCGGCUGUGGCUGGCCUGGUGGGCCUGGAGCUAUAUAAGGUGGUGGGCGGGCCACGGCCCCUCAGUGCCUUUCGCCACAACUAUCUGCACCUGGCUGAAAACUACUUUAGCCGCUGGGUACCUUUUGCCCCAGCCAUCCAAAAGUUCCAACACCUGGAGUGGACCUGUUGGAAACGCCUGGAAGUGCCUGCUGGGGAGCCGGAGAGGACCCUGGAGUCGUUGCUGGCCCAUCUCCAGGAACUGCUGGAGGUGAGGGUGACGAUGCUGCUGCGUGGCCCGGCUGUGCUCUACUCUGCAGGAUGGUCGCUUGAAAAGCAGGCCCGGCACCUGCCCCUCAGGGUGACGGAAGUAAUGCGGCAGGUGACCGGCCAGGCACCUGAGCCUGGACAGCGGGUGCUGGUACUGGAGCUCAGCUGUGAGGGUGAUGAGGAGGACACUACCUUCCCACCCGUGCACUAUAAGCUGUGACAAGGCAGCAGCCUCACCACCCAGCUCUGUCAAGCUCUGUAUCCCAAUCCCUCAGGAGACCUCCAUUGCCUGCCCUGGUUCAUAAAUGUCUCUGAGAGCCAGGGACCUGGUACCAUCCUUCAGUCUUUCUUCUUCAACUGCUCUUCAUACAUACCCACCCUGAAGUUGCUCCAUGUGCAGCCACCCAC